rnacentral:rRNA from 1 species
GACGAACGCUGGCGGCGUGCUUAAUACAUGCAAGUCGAGCGGACUCCAACCACUCGCAAGAGUGGGGAAGAGUUAGCGGCGAACGGGUGAGUAACACGUGAGGAACCUGCCCCGGAGACCGGGAUAACCCCCCGAAAGGGGAGCUAAUACCGGAUGCCCUCAGCGGAUCGCAUGGUCUGCUGAGGAAAUGGAUUCCGCUCCGGGAGGGCCUCGCGGCCUAUCAGCUUGUUGGUGAGGUAACGGCUCACCAAGGCGUCGACGGGUAGCUGGUCUGAGAGGACGAUCAGCCACACUGGGACUGAGACACGGCCCAGACUCCUACGGGAGGCAGCAGUAGGGAAUCUUGCGCAAUGGGCGAAAGCCUGACGCAGCAACGCCGCGUGAGGGAUGAC